UCCAGACUCCUACGGGAGGCAGCAGUGAGGAAUAUUGGUCAAUGGGCUAAGGCCUGAACCAGCCAAGUCGCGUGAGGGAAGACGGUCCUAUGGAUUGUAAACCUCUUUUGUCGGGGAGCAACGAGGCCACGUGUGGCCGAAGUGAGAGUACCCGAAGAAAAAGCAUCGGCUAACUCCGUGCCAGCAGCCGCGGUAAUACGGAGGAUGCGAGCGUUAUCCGGAUUUAUUGGGUUUAAAGGGUGCGCAGGCGGAGGUGCAAGUCAGCGGUCAAAUUGCGGGGCUCAACCCCGUACUGCCGUUGAAACUGCAUCCCUUGAGUGCGCGAGAAGUAUGCGGAAUGCGUGGUGUAGCGGUGAAAUGCAUAGAUAUCACGCAGAACUCCGAUUGCGAAGGCAGCAUACCGGCGCGCAACUGACGCUCAUGCACGAAAGCGUGGGUAUCGAACAGGAUUAGAUACCCUCGUAA
rnacentral:rRNA from 1 species